rnacentral:rRNA from 1 species
GAACUCAGGGAACUGAAACAUCUAAGUACCUGAAGGAAGAGAAAGAAAUUCGAUUCCGUAAGUAGCGGCGAGCGAACGCGGAUUAGCCCAAACCAAUAAAGUUUUCUUUAUUGGGGUUGAGGACAUAUCAUAACGAAGAGGUAUCGUAAUUGAAGAGGUUUGGAAAGACCCACCACAGAAGGUAAUAGUCCUGUAUGUUAAACGAGAAGACUU